rnacentral:rRNA from 1 species
CGGGUGAGUAACGCGUGGAUAACCUGCCUCACACUGGGGGAUAACAGUUAGAAAUGACUGCUAAUACCGCAUAAGCGCACAGUACCGCAUGGUACAGUGUGAAAAACUCCGGUGGCGUGAGAUGGAUCCGCGUCUGAUUAGCCAGUUGGCGGGGUAACGGCCCACCAAAGCGACGAUCAGUAGCCGACCUGAGAGGGUGACCGGCCACAUUGGGACUGAGACACGGCCCAA